CUUAAUAAUAUGCAGCAUAUCUCCCACUGGCAUUUCCUGCUCUAUCCUCCUCAAGAUGGACAACACCUCAGCUAUGUAUUACACCAAUCAACUGGGGGGAACGAAGUCGAGGAUUUUGGAAGUUAUGGCUCAGGAGUUUUGGCAUUAUUGCCUACAUCACAACAUAUCAAUGAUAGCAGAACAUAGUCCGGGCCAGUAAAAUACUACAGUGGACUGGAGUUCUCAAUACCUACGAUAAGCAG